ACCACAGUAUGGCUUGCCAAGCAGUGCCAUGUCCGCACCCGGGAUCUGAACCGGCGAACCCCGGGCCACCGAAGCGGAACGUGUGCACUUAACCGCUGCGCCACCAGGCUGGCCCCUCAACCUCAUUCUUGCUUUUGAUUCUUCCAGAUACUAAACUAUGACAGCAAACAGCCCUUUCCUCCCAAGAAACACAUAAAAAUGUAAAUUAAGGGUGAUCAGGUUUGGGUUAACAAAGCAUCAUCAGACACUCUGGGGUGAUGCCGGAAUUACUGUCUUCUAGAUGAAGAAUGAGAGGAAAUGGUCAGAGGUGGUAGCAAUGGGAAUCUGGUUGCUUUUGCAUGGUUUUCCCACCUGGCAGCAAAUGCAACACAACAAAAAGAAGAUGGAGCAGAGCGAUGUGCCUCAGUCCCCAUUUUCUGAGUUCCUUUUUUAGGUGGCAAAACAAGGCAGUGGAGUGGUGUCCUAUCCUGUCCUAUGUGUGCAGCCCAGUUGUGCUAACCUUAUGCCUAAUGCCUGUGGCUCUCUCGAGGAGGGAAGGGGAAGGAGGGGGCUGGUGGAAUGCUCUGUGCCCAAGUGGGGAACUUGCCUUGGAGCCACGGCAAGAACAGAGUGUUCCUGUUCCCCCAGCCCCCACCCAGCUCUGGCUGCAGCGGGGCUGCGCUCUGCUAGCACCCUGCCUCAUGCACUGUCCACACUUCGGCAGUAACCAGGAACCUAGAGGGCAGGACAGUUCACGUAAGCAUCAUGUCUAUAUGUUGGUGACUCCCAAAUUUACUUCCCUAGCCUGCACCUCCCUCUUGGAUCAAGGUGCUUACUGCCAAGUGCUUAUUUGACAUCUCUACUUGGGCGUCUAAUAGGCAUCUUAAACUUUACCUAAGUGUGGUAGAUCCUUAAAUAAUGGUCCUCAGUGAAUCAACCUCUCUCCCCCAUGUUCUUUUGCAAUAAAAGUUUACUGCUCCUCCCACUCAAGAGGCCGUGCUUUUUCUCCAACUGCUGUUUGAACCUGCGUUUGCCUUGUGACUUGCUUUGACCAAUAGAACGUGCCAUUGUGUAAGUUCCAGACCUUAGGCCCUAAGAGGUCUUGCAGUUUCCUCACUGGCCCUCUUAAAAUUCAGCUGCACGUAAGAAGCCUGGACUAGCAUCCUUGAGGAUGUGAGACCACAUAGGGAAAGAGGCCCUGAAACCACACGGAACCAUCCCAACAGCCAAGCCUCCAGGCAAACACAAGCUACAGACAGCACACUGGUGAGACCAGAAGACCGACACUCCAGUCAACCCACAGAAAUUUCCUAGACCUGAAAUCUGAUGAAUGAGAAAGUGGCAAGUCUCCAGGAAGAAGGACCCUGCAAUAUCACAACAGAGUCUGCUUCAGGUCACAUGUUGCCCUGGAGAACCAAGAAGGGCGAGCAGACCAACAACCAGUUAUGGCCCCAAAAAGCCAGAGGAUGGAAGAAAGCAAAGUCUUUAUUAUCAAACAAGAAAUAUGCAAUUUACAAAGGAAAUUGUUACAAGUUCUCUUUUUUUACAUGAUGUUGUUGAAAUAAAAUCUAGUAGAUGUAUCUAUUGGUAAGGAAAAGACCAAAACAAUGCCGGGCAGUGACAUGAAAGUAACAUAAUGACAUCAAAGUAACAUAAUACUGUAAUCUACUUGACAUUCUCUGAUGAUACACUACAACACGGCAGCCUGUAAUUUCCUACUGAUUAACAUGCCAAGAAAAUGCCAGUUACUUAUUGGAAUGUAAAAUUUGGAUGAUUUUCAUUGAUGUGGGGGGUUACACAUGUGGGUAUGUGUGUAUGUGGCUUCUCUCUCCCACUUUUUACAAAAGUUGAUUCUGAUUAUUAACUUUUGAGUAAAAGUUGUCAUCAUGCUAUCAUUAAAAACCAUUUAUUAAA